rnacentral:rRNA from 1 species
AGAGUUUGAUCAUGGCUCAGGAUGAACGCUAGCGGCAGGCUUAAUACAUGCAAGUCGAGGGGUAUAAAGUAGCUUGCUAUUUUAGAGACCGGCAAACGGGUGCGGAACACGUACACAAUCUAACCUUAUCUGGGGGAUAGCCAUAGAAAUGUGGAUUAAUACCCCAUAGUAUUACGGAGUGGCAUCAUUUUGUAAUUAAAGAAUUUCGGAUAAGGAUGAGUGUGCGUCUGAUUAGGUAGUUGGCGGGGUAACGGCCCACCAAGCCGACGAUCAGUAGCUGAUGUGAGAGCAUGAUCAGCCACACGGGCACUGAGACACGGGCCCGACUCCUACGGGAGGCAGCAGUAAGGAAUAUUGGUCAAUGGACGGAAGUCUGAACCAGCCAUGCCGCGUGAAGGACGAAGGCGUUCUGCGUUGUAAACUUCUUUUAUCAGAGAAGAAACCACCGAUUUCUAUUGGUGUUGACGGUAUCUGAUGAAUAAGCACCGGCUAACUCCGUG